UUACGGCCAUAUCACGUUGAAACACCGGUUCUCGUAUGAUCACCAAAGUUAAGCAACGUCGAACCUAGUCAGUACCUAGAUGGGAAAACGCUUUAGAAUACCAGGUGCUGUAAU